rnacentral:tRNA from 1 species
GACCACGUAGCUCAGUUGGAAGAGCAUUGGGCUAGUAUUCCAAAGGUCGUAGGUUCAAAUCCCGCCGUAGCCA